AUAAAGGAACUACAGCACGGUCACAUGACCUCCCGUCUCCACUGCUAAGCUAAAGGAGGCUAAUGUUAGGCUAUAAAGGAACUACAGCACGGUCACAUGACUUCACGUCAAAACCGCUAAGCUAGAGGAGGCUAAUGUUGGGCUAUAAAGGAACUACAGCACGGUCACAUGACCUCCCGUCUCCACUGCUAAGCUAAAGGAGGCUAAUGUUGGUCUAUAAAUGAACUACAGCACGGUCACCUGACUUCACGUCUCCACUGCUAAGCUAAAGGAGGCUAAUGUUGGGCUAUAAAGGAACUACAGCACGGUCACAUGACCUCCCGUCUCCACUGCUAAGCUAAAGGAGGCUAAUGUUGGUCUAUAAAUGAACUACAGCACGGUCACAUGACUUCACGUCUCCACUGCUAAGCUAAAGGAGGCUAAUGUUGGGCUAUAAAGGAACUACAGCACGGUCACAUGACUUCACGUCACCACCGCUAAGCUAAAGGAGGCUAAUGUUGGGCUAUAAAGGAACUACAGCACGUUCACAUGACUUCACGUCUCCACCGCUAAGCUAAAGGUGGCUAAUGUUGGGCUAUAAAGGAGCUACAGCACGGUCACAUGACUUCACGUCACCACCGCUAAGCUAAAGGUGGCUAAUGUUGGGCUAUAAAGGAGCUACAGCACGGUCAGGUCAAUGUUUCUUCCUGCCACCUCAUCAUGUUCACUUCUGACAAAAAGACUAAAUUCCUCAGGAUGUGAUGGACCCAGUUGGGUCCAGCAGAGGUCGGAGGGCACCUCGUUAGCCCGGUCAGCAGGACUGUAUCUGAACACGUGUUUGUUAUCAGCUGUGAGCCCCACUGAGGUACAAUCAAUAUCACCUCUAACGAGGGGAGCUAACGAGCUGCUGUUACCCAGGCUGAAGGAGCAGCUGUUGAUGCAGCAGCAGCAGACGCCAGUCAGGCAGCGCACAGCCAGGAAGAGGACAGGCUGGGGGAACACGGCCGGAACCAGGCCGCAGGCGGCGUGUAAACACACACAAACCAGCAGCACCGGACGCUUCCCAUACCUGCGCACGCGCAUACACACACACACACACACACACACACACACAGGUUUACUCAACAUGUGCAUUGACGGGACUGUAUCAUCUGUGUGUGUGUGUGUGUGUGUGUGUGUGUGUGUUAGUUUCUUUACCGGUCUGAGAGCGCUCCCCCCACCAGCGAGCCCAGCAGCAGCCCUACCAUGAAGAGCGUCUGACCGUACGCCAGCAGCCAUGGGGACAGGUCUCGGCGACGAUGGCAGCGGUGAAAAUGUCGAGGAAGAAGAGGAAGGACGUGAAGAAGAAGACGAGGGAGAGGCGCCAGUACAGGGAGAUCUGCAGCGGAGACAUCUCCUCCGGUCAGGGCUCCAGAAACAACCUCAGCAGGCCGUCAGGAGAGACCCAUGCUGCAGCCAUUCCUUGCAAGAGUGUGUGUGUGUGUGUGUGUGUGUGUGUGUGUGUGUGUGUGUGUGUGUGUGUGUGUGUGUGUGUGUGUGUGUGUGUGUGUGUGUGUGUGUGUGUGUGUGUGUGAGAACAGUUGCUGCUGUCAGCCACACACUUCAGAACUCUCAGCUGGAGGUUCAGUCCCCGCCCUCUUCUCCUUAUAAGGAGUGGAGGUGUUGCGACACCCUGUGGUGGUUUCCUGAUAUAGCUUUACACUGAAUCAUUGUUUCCAGGAAUCAAACUGAGCAUUAGUUAAUUUAAUUCAGUAAACAGAAGAGUUAGCUUCUGUCUUCUGGAGUAAAAUAAUUUAUUAGACAGAAUGUAAUCAUACACAUACAAUGUUUAUCACGAAGAAAUAAUACGGCACAUGAAAUAAGAGAUAUUGUGAAAAUAUAAUCACACUAACACUGAACUUUAACAUAUGCUUAGAAGUGAUUAAAUGCAUUGAUUUUCAGUGAGAAACAGUCUCUAUUAGACAUUUAACUUUACUACAAGAACCUCUAUAAUAUACCUUUACUCAAUACCAGUUACUGAAUAGCGCCUGUUAGCAUCAGCUGUUGUUAUUUAGCCAAGCAUGCUAACCACACCUGCUAACAGCUAACUAGCCCUCCUGCUGACUUGAAAUAGGUUAAUUUUUAAGGAAUUACAUACAAUAUAAAGUAAAAGUGCAGGGCACUGGACAUAAUAAUCCCAUAUACUUAUACAGAUACACUCGUGCAUAUGUAAGAGUUUAAUAGGUGUGUUUGUGGUUCUAAACGUUGCAUACUAAAUUAAAAGUAAGUAAACAUUUGGUUUCACACGAGCCACGUCGCUCUCUCGGUCCGGUUUGUUUGCGUGUAUAGAAACGUAAUAUUCCUGAAUAGCACCUCCCAUUGAACUUCUGCUAGCAUUAGCUGUUAGCCAUGUUACUCAGUCAAGCAUGCUAACCACCAGAAGCUAACAGCUAACUAUCUUUCCUACUGACUUGAAAUGGAAAUGUAUUUGUGACACGUCAUGAACUGUGUUUUCCUCGAGAACAUUACUAUUUAAAACACAGAAUGCUAACGUAUGCUAAUGUAUGCUAGGCUCAGUUUAUUCGCUAUAAAGUGGUCCACUUUAGGAAGUCUCUCCACUGAAGGUACUACAGGUCCAUGCUCAGCGGACUCUAUAUCCCAUCAUGCUUUGCUCCUCUGGACCUCGCUCACCACGGUGGACAGAGCCGAGGACGGCGUGGAGUAAACGGCCGCCAUGUUCUGCAGACCGAGCAUCAGGCAGCGCCAGCUCAGCCGUAACGCCUUCCCCACGUUCUGACGGGAAACACUUUCAAUUACUUUAAAUCAUUUAUAUUCAGUUUGGAGGAUCCCCUGAGGAGGAAUCCUAAAGACAUCAGAAGCAUCUCAGCUUUUUACCAACAAGUUUGAUUAAAAUAGUAUUCAUUCACUUCUAUUGUAAACAUCAACUUAUAUAUUUACAUUUUUGCAAGAGUUAUUUAUUUAUUUAUUAACAUUUAUCAUAUAUUUAGUCAUAUAUUAAUAUAUUUUAAAUAUAGACAUGUACUUAUAUUAUAUUUUAUACCAACUAUUACGUAUUACUAUUACUAGUACUUCAGCUAUAUAUAUUUUAUAAUUUAAAUACGUUUUAGAUUCAUGUUCCCCAGAGGAUAGAUCCUAAAGACUCUUUUUAUUAUGUGUAUUCAUUAUCAAAUAUUAUCUGACUUUGUGUAUUUUACUAUAUUUCAGAGGUCUGAGUACUUCCUGUUAUCUGUCAGACUGAUGACUUGUCCUGUGUUCUGGGUCAAAGGGCAAACAAAAGUGCUGAGUCAUUGUUUACCACCUUGGGCUUAAAAAGAAACAGUUAAAUAAUGACCUAUUUUAAUUUAUGUAAACAAACGCAGAACUUUACUUUUUCUUUGAAUAUGCUUUGGUCAGUUUUAGAUUUAAAAUAAACUUUAUAUUUAUUUAUUUUGAAUUUAGUUUUAAAAGUCAUUUUCUUUGCAUAAUUUACUAUAAUAUUUAUUUAAAUGAUAUCUUUUAAAAUGAAGGGAUAAAUAUUAUAAUGAACUAAAUGUUAUUUAUUUUGAUCUUUACUUGAACUUUCAUCAUGUGCUUUAAUUAUUGAUUUUAAUUCAUGCAACAUAAUGACAGUGUUAUGACUGAAUCGGGUUAAAGGUCAUGGUGGUUUCCUACCUUCCUGAACUUCUUGUACCUCUUGUUCUUCCUCCUCUUGUUCUCCUCCUUCCUAUUCCUCUUCUCCUGCUGUGUUUCCUCCUCUUCCUCCUCGAUCAGAGGCUCGUACCUGUCGGGCAGGACGGAGAAACACACCUCUUUAGACGUUUGCUUCUUCUUCUUGGCUUCCGUCUGUGGAGCAGUUUCUUCCUCCUGAGCUCCCAUCUUCUCCUCUUCCUCCUCUUCCUCUCCUUCUUCUCCCCUCACCUGCUCUGCUUCUCCUUCUGUCCUCGUGUUGUGCAGGAGGACUUUGCUCUGAGGUGGAGUCAGGCUUCAUUACAGCCUGCAGCUCUGCAGACAGGAAGUGCACUAAAGCAGGAUUAGAAGAACAAUGUGUAGUCCACCUGAUCUUCGGGACUACAGGGACAGUCAGCUCCACCUCUAACCAAGAAGAACUUUUAAUAUUCUAUUUGUUAAGACUGAAUAAUGCUUCAGCUUGGACUGUCUUACAUGAACUCUGAGUCGCACAGAAACCAGAAAACACGCUGAAUAAAAGCUUCUGGAAAACA